rnacentral:snRNA from 1 species
AAAGCCAAUGAUUAGAGG